AAUAACCCAUUUAACCAACAACGCGCGGAUCCCCCACAGAACGGGUCGGGUCAAGCGCGGGUCACUGAGUAAUACGACGCCGUUUUAAUAAUCUGCCUAAAAUAAAAAAACCUAAACUAACCUAAUCUGCCAUUUGAAUGAAAAGCCUAAGCCCUCCCCUCUCAACUCUGCGCCGCAAUCUCGAAAUCCCCAUUCAUCUCCGAUUUCGGACGGAGUGAACGGAGCUCCGCUGGUGCGCCUUUGCGAAGGUUGUUGCAGGUCCGAGGCCGUACGGUGAGGUGGCACGGCGUAGUGCGUGGAGGCGUGGGUAGAACGGCACUGGAAGCCGUUGCGGCACUCGUGCUAGGGCUGAAUGCCUAGGUUUCUUUUCUUUUUGGUGUUGGGCCGUAUGUAUUCGGGUUUGGGCUUGGGUUUUAGUGGGUUAUUGUAAACGGUUUUGGGUCACUGUAAUAUGUACAUUUUGGACAUUUAAUAUGUUUAUUUUUGUUUUUAUUA